rnacentral:rRNA from 1 species
UGUAGGCGGUUUGGUAAGUCUGGUGUGAAAUCUCCCGGCUCAACUGGGAGGGUGCGCCGGAAACUGCCGGACUCGAGUGCGGGAGAGGAAAGUGGAAUUCCUGGUGUAGCGGUGAAAUGCGUAGAUAUCAGGAGGAACACCGGUGGUGUAGACGGCUUUCUGGACCGUAACUGACGCUGAAACACGAAAGCGUGGGUAGCAAACAGGAUUAGAUACCCUGGUAGUCCACGCCCUAAACGAUGCACAUUUGGUGUGGGUCAUUCAGUUGAUCCGUGCCGGAGCUAACGCGUUAAAUGUGCCGCCUGGGGAGUACAGUCGCAAGGCUGAA